GCAUGUACCGCAGCUUAAUAUGGCUGAUUGCUGUUGUAGUUCGUGAUUUUACUUGGAGAGGUUAAUAUGACUGUAUGUUAAAUUAUGGUGUAUUACUUUUCUACCGCGAAUAUGUGAUUGAUUUGUGGCUUAUCAAAUAUUGUUCACUUCAUCUUUAUUACAGAACUUUCUAGUACAGCCUUGAUUCUGUGAGUGUUGUUAAAGUAUGGCUGGUAAGGAUGGGGCUGAUGAAGUAUUGAAACAAGGUCUAAUGGUGAAAAGAUCGCAGAAUAAGAAGAGAUUCACUCCAGUUAACUAUAAACAGCGGUGGUUUGUCCUGACGCGAAAUUACCUCUUCUACUACGACACAGAUGGUGAGGAUGUGAAUUGCGAGUGCCUCAGAGUAAGCAAACCCCCUGCUGGGUUGGCUGAUUUGUCCUGUCUGCACAGCCUUCACUUUCUCUUAAGUAGGGUACGAGACACAGUAAUUCUCUUUUGUUUUUACAACAUUUCUGUAGUUUGAAUAGUGGUAGAUCUUGGAUUUUGAAACAGUUUUAUUUAUUAGCUCACUGAGUGUGUAGUUUUGGUAAUUUAUUGGUGCAUUGUUCACAUUUUAUAGUUUCUGUGGCUUAAUUAUCGGUGAAAGAAGUUGCAUGAAAAUUUUGUAUGUCCAGAGCAGACAGUGAUGUGAGAUGUAGAUGAGUUCACAGAGUUUCUCAUUUCAUUUUGAAGAUGUAAUUUAUUCAGAAAAUGUCACUGAUUCUACCUUUGCUUACUAUGGUUACAGUCAGUGUCAAAGUUAAUCAUAAAGGACUGUAACACUUCCUUCGUUCUAUACAAAUGGUGAAGUAACUCUGAGAGCUUUGCACCUUCACAGUGAAUAAAGGACAAACUUUCUGUUCUGCAUACACAUAGAUGACUUGGUGUGCUUAUUUUGUGCAAUUCUGAGAAAGAAUGAAGCCUUAUAGAAAUGUAUGGGCACUAAAAUGCCCAUGUAAUUAUGUACUGAUAUAAAAUAAAGGUAAGACUUCAGGCCAUACCAUAGCUCAGGCAGUUAGUUGCUGUCUUCUCACCAUGCAAGAUGGAUUCAGUCCUAGGACAAUGUAUAUAGUUUUGGCAAGA